CGCUAGCGGCAGGCUUAAUACAUGCAAGUCAGGGGUAGCAUGAUUGUAGCAAUACAAUUGAUGACGACCGGCAAACGGGUGCGGAACACGUACACAACCUUCCUACAAGUGGGGAAUAGCCCAGAGAAAUUUGGAUUAAUACCCCGUAACAUAGCGAUGUGGCAUCACAUUGCUAUUAUAGCUUCGGCGGUAGUGGAUGAGCGUGCGGUUGAUUAGAUAGUUGGCGGGUAACGGCCACCAAGUCUACGAUCAAUAGCUGAUGUGAGAGCAUGAUCAGCCACACGGGCACUGAGACACGGGCCCGACUCCUACGGGAGGCAGCAGUAAGGAAUAUUGGGCAAUGGACGCAAGUCUGACCCAGCCAUGCCGCGUGAAGGAUGAAGGUCCUCUGGAUUGUAAACUUCUUUUAUCUGGGGCGAAAACAACUCUUUCUAGAGUUCUUGACAGUACCAGAGGAAUAAGCACCGGCUAACUCCGUG
rnacentral:rRNA from 1 species